rnacentral:rRNA from 1 species
GACGAACGCUGGCGGCGUGCUUAACACAUGCAAGUCGAACGAUGAACCCGGAGCUUGCUCUGGGGGAUUAGUGGCGAACGGGUGAGUAACACGUGAGUAACCUGCCCUGGACUCUGGGAUAAGCGUUGGAAACGACGUCUAAUACCGGAUAGGACCUUGGAUCGCAUGAUCUGGGGUGGAAAGUUUUUUCGGUCUGGGAUGGACUCGCGGCCUAUCAGCUUGUUGGUGAGGUAAUGGCUCACCAAGGCGUCGACGGGUAGCCGGCCUGAGAGGGUGACCGGCCACACUGGGACUGAGACACGGCCCAGACUCCUACGGGAGGCAGCCGUGGGGAAUAUUGCACAAUGGGCGAAAGCCUGAUGCAGCAACGCCGCGUGCGGGAUGACGGCCUUCGGGUUGUAAACCGCUUUUAGUAGGGAAGAAGGGCUUCGGCUUGACGGUACCUGCAGAAAAAGGACCGGCUAACUACGUG